UGAAUUCAAGUUUCCGACAUUAUUGCUAUCAAUUUCCCGAUUCCGAAUUGUCAAAUUCCGGAUGGUUAAUUUUUCAUGCCAUGAAAUGUCAAGCAUGUUAGCUCAUCUGGAACAAGAACAGAACAAAGAGCACAUCAGUUAAUCUGGAAUGAGCCAAGUUAGCUUAAUAACAAACGAUAAACAGAUUUCCCAGAAUUCUGCAUUCAAGGGUGUGAACAAAAAGACUGCAGUUUGGCAAGCAUGUAAAAUUGGCUCAUGAAUUUCAAAAGAAAUGAAAAUUCUUUAUAUGGGAUUUUCCACUUUCUCAUUCCUUACAGAAACCAGACAGAGACUAGUUGGCUAACAUGUAUUUCACAGAAAAUAGCCAGCUUUCUUUUUUUUAUUAA